ACACAAUUCUCUGUACGGGCACUUGCCAUGACUUUAUUUUUGAAUAUUUCUGUGUUCAUGUGGUAGGGAAAACAUUGUUGUAUACUACAAAUUCCCUGUUUUGCUUUUAGGUUGGAGACUACAUAAGACUUUGACAGUUGGCGGGAAACCAUCAUCAACUGGAGAGAUGCCGGAAGAGGAAUGUCUGCGACUAAGUCAAGGGCCACUGGAUAAGGGUUGUUGAUGGCAAAACAGGUUGGAGACUACAUAAGACUUUGACAGUUGGCGGGAAACCAUCAUCAACUGGAGAGAUGCCGGUAAAAAGAUGGCCAUAAAACAGUGACCGCUGAUUCGCAUUGAGUUCUUUCUUACAUAUUGGAUGACCUAUGUUUUUUAUUGUUUAAAUCAUUGCGGCUUGGAAUGCUCUUUAAGAAAAGGUAUGGUUAUGGGGGUGUCUACGCGCAAAAGUUUGACUUUAUUUUUUGUUAAAGUUAUUGCUUUUACAUUGAAUUUGUGCAGGAAAUCUUUUGGUAUGUUGUG